CCACACCCAUGGUUGCAGGUUGGGAGAUCCUUUAUGAUACAACUGUGGGUCCUUCUGGAAGUUCCAGUUUUUUAAUAAUUAUCUUUACUCUGGAUAUACCUUUUUGUUGCUUUUUAAACAUCCUUAUUGCAGAACCAUUGAUGUAAUAUUUUGAUCCUAAUAUUUUUUGGUA